rnacentral:rRNA from 1 species
UACGAAGGGGGCUAGCGUUGUCCGGAUUUACUGGGCGUAAAGCGCGCGUAGGCGGCUCGUUAAGUGUGAAGUGAAAUCCCGGGGCUCAACUCCGGAACCGCUUCGCAUACUGGCGGGCUCGAGGGAUGCAGAGGUCUGUGGAAUUCCUGGUGUAGCGGUGAAAUGCGCAGAUAUCAGGAGGAACACCAGUGGCGAAGGCGGGUCUCUGGGCCGAUACUGACGCUGAGGAGCGAAGGCGUGGGGAGCGAACAGG